rnacentral:rRNA from 1 species
CCACACCAUGGGAGUUGAUUGCACCAGAAGCAGGUAGCCUGACCGCAAGGAGGCAGCUGACCACGGUGGGAUCAGCGACUGGGGUG